rnacentral:rRNA from 1 species
UUAGGAAUUUUGGGCAAUGGGGGCAACCCUGACCCAGCAACGCCGCGUGGGUGAUGACGGCCUUCGGGUUGUAAAGCCCUUUUCCCGGGGACGAUAGUGACGGUACCCGGGGAAUCAGCCCCGGCUAACUACGUGCCAGCAGCCGCGGUAAUACGUAGGGGGCAAGCGUUGUCCGGAUUUAUUGGGCGUAAAGCGCUCGCAGGCGGCCUCGUGCGUCGUGCGUGAAAGGCCCCGGCUCAACCGGGGACGGUCGUGCGAUACGGCGGGGCUGGAGGCCAGUAGGGGGACGCGGAAUUCCGGGUGUAGUGGUGGAAUGCGUAGAGAUCCGGAGGAACACCAGCGGCGAAGGCGGCGUCCUGGACUGGGCCUGACGCUCAGGAGCGAAAGCGUGGGGAGCGAUCCG